rnacentral:lncRNA from 1 species
CACGCAUGGUAACACAGCUGCAGGUUUCCGAGAAACUUUCAAACUGAAAGGAAAAUCAGCACCUGAGCAUGACAGCAAAGAAAAGAGAGCCUCAGCUGUAAACCAUAUUCUUCUCUGUGAUUUCUAAAGCUCCGAUGUUUCCUCAGAAAAAGUCUGAAGCAAGGGAAAGUUAUAUAAUUUGAAUCUCUGAAAACCUGUAAGGCUGUGAAACGCUGGUUGACGUUAACUCCAUUCUACCAAGGUGGCACUGGUUAGACACUUCAUAUGUUAUUCAGGUUAUACAGUUCUUAUGACUUCUGUCUUUUUUUCUUUUGAGAUUUUAAAAAUUAGUCAGUGAAAGCAAAACUGUUUAAUAGAAUUACACUACAGUUAACUUCAAUAUGCAGA